rnacentral:rRNA from 1 species
CCUACGGGAGGCAGCAGUGAGGAAUAUUGGUCAAUGGGCGGAAGCCUGAACCAGCCAAGUAGCGUGCAGGAUGACGGCCCUACGGGUUGUAAACUGCUUUUAUACGGGAAUAACGCGCCUUACGUGUAGGGCUUUGCAUGUACCGUAUGAAUAAGGAUCGGCUAAUUCCGUGCCAGCAGCCGCGGUAAUACGGAAGGUCCGGGCGUUAUCCGGAUUUAUUGGGUUUAAAGGGAGCGUAGGGCGCAUGUAAAGCGUGCUGUGAAAGGUGCGGGCUCAACCCGGGCCUUGCAGCGCGAACUGGCGUGCUUGAGUCCGGGAAAGGCAGGCGGAAUUCGUGGUGGAGCGGUGAAAUGCUUAGAUAUGACGAAGAACCCCGAUUGCGAAGGCAGCUUGCUGCAGCGGAACUGACGCUGAUGCUCGAAAGCGCGGGUAUCGAACAGGAUUAGAUACCCCAGUAGUC